AUUAAUCAUAAGCAUCCUAAAAAUUUAGUUAUUAUUAUAUUGUUUACAUAUACAAUGGGUAGUAAUAAUAGUGGUACUAAGAAAAAUUUAACUAACUACCCACCGUAUAAUGUACAACAUGCGCAGUUAAAUGCUACUUCACUAACUUAUAAGAAAUUGUGUUUUUUGUGGCUUUUCUUUUUUUUAUUACUAAAUAGUAUAAUACCAUUUGAAUCACAAAAUGACAAUAAAAAUGGCAGAAUUAUAAGUGAGCUCGAUAAAAAUGACAACAAACAAGAAGUGGUAACAGAGCUAAACAAUACAGAUUUGAAUAAGGUUGAUGAUGUAAGUGAAAACCAUGAUAAAAAAAGAUAGUAAUAAUGGAAGUAAAAAUAAUGAACUUAUUGUGCCUGUUCAGGAUGAAGUGUUAUCUGAUAACAUUUAUACAGAACCAAAAGAAAAUGAAAAUAGUGAUAUAAACCUAAACGAUAAUGUUAACAGCGCAAGUAGUUUUAGUGAAAUGCAUCAACAAAUAUUACAAGACAUAAAAGAAAAAUGCCCUGGAAAUGAAAAUAAGCCUUCAAAUAAUAAAAAUACACACAUGCAUAAACAAUUGCAUGAUCAAAAUAAUAAUAGGAUUGCUCAUAACAUUGAAAAAAAAACGCAUCAAACAUUAAACACUGGUAAUGUUAAUAAAAAUGAAAGUAACAUAAGAGGUGAAAAAAACAGUGACGAUACAACACAGCAUGUAAAUAAAAAUAUU